GGGCCGUUAGCUCAGCUGGUAGAGCAGUACACUUUUAAUGUACGGGUCGCUGGUUCGAAUCCAGCACGGCUCACCA
rnacentral:tRNA from 1 species